rnacentral:rRNA from 1 species
AUUAAGGGUAUAUGGUGAAUGCCUUGACUCAAGAAGACGAUGAAGGACGUAGCAGCCUGCGAUAAGCCUCGGUUAGGUGGCAAGCAACCUUUGAUCCGAGGAUUUCCGAAUGGGGAAACCUAUUCCGAUUCAUAUCGGAAUGUCCGCCAGCUGAAUACAUAGGUUGGUGAGACGACUACCCGGUGAACUGAAACAUCUUAGUAGCCGGAGGAAAAGAAAAUAAAUUCCCCGAGUAGUGGCGAGCGAAAGGGGAUCAGUCUAAACCUGUAACUUUCCUAGUUGAAGCGAGCUGGAAAGCUCCGCCAGAGCGGGUGAUAGCCCCGUAAGCCAAAGGAGUUAUUACUCUACGAUAACAUUCUUAAGUACUGCGGGACUCGUGAAAUCCCGUACGAAACCGGGUCGACUAUGACCCAAGACUAAAUACUUCUUGAGAUCGAUAGUGAACAAGUACCGUGAGGGAAAGGUGAAAAGCAUCCCGGUAAGGGAGAUGAAAUAGUAUCUGAAACCAUAUACUUACAAAGAGUCGGAGCGGUGUUGCACAUUGAAUAGUAUUUAUUUUGUAUUGAAUAGUGGUUUUGACAUAAAGUCAGGUCCGUCAAAUAGCAGAGAACGCGAGGAUUUAUCGCAAGCGAUUGCGACUCGUGACGGCGUGCCUAUUGAGGAAUGAGUCAACGAGUUUGCUGUAUGUGGCUCACAUAAUCUCGUUAAACGAGAGCAUGUAAAGUGAAAGCGAGGGUUAAUAGCCCGUCUCUUACUUUUUAGAAAGCAGGCCUUAAAAACCUUCUUUCUAAAUUUUAAGAAAGUCGCAUAUACAAGACCCGAAGCCGGGUGAUCUAGCCAUGACCAGGUUGAACCCUCGAGAAAUCGAGGGGGAGGACCGAACCCACGAGCCGUGCAAAACUCGGGGAAGAGUUGUGGUUAGCGGUGAAAUUCCAAUCGAACUCGGCAAUAGCUGGUUCUCCUCGAAAUAGCUUUUGGGCUAGCCUCGAGCGUUUCUUUCUGGGGGUAGAGCACUGAAUGAGGAUAGGUCGCAAGAUACUGUUCUUAACCAAACUCCGAAUACCAGAAAAUUAAGCUCGGGAGUCAGACUAUGGGCGCUAAGGUUCAUCAGUCUAAAGGGAAACAGCCCUAAUCGCAAGCUAAGGUCCCUAAAUAUAUGCUAAGUGUGAAAGGCGGUGUUGCGACUGUAACAACUAGGAGGUUGGCUUAGAAGCAGCCAUCCUUUAAAGAAAGCGUAACAGCUCACUAGUCAAGUUGCCGCGCGCCGAAAAUUUAUCGGGGCUAAGCAUAUUACCGAAGCUGCGGGUUUUCUGCCUUCGGGCAGAGAGCGGUAGAGGAGCGUUCUAAAUCCGCUGAAGUUCACGCCGUGAGGCGGAGUGGAGGAUUUAGAAGAGAGAAUGUUGACAUGAGUAGCAUAAAGGCAGGCGAAAACCCUGCCCACCAAAAAUUCAAGGUUUCCUGGGCAACGCAAAUCGACCCAGGGUUAGUCGGUCCUAAGACGAGGCCGGUGUAAUGCCGGCGUAGCCGAUGGAUGAGCUGGUUAAUAUUCCAGCACUGCCGUAAUCUUCCGAUGGGGAGACGCGGUUUCAAAGUUUGAGCGUUUCUAUGGUAUGAGCGUUAAUGGCGUUGGCAAUAGAUCCAGGCAAAUCCGGAUCAAUGUUUUCCGAUGUCGUUAAAAGACGAAGCCUCUGGUGGAGUCAAUUCAAAUGGCCAAACCGCCCAGAAAAACCUCUAGGGUCGCCGCAAGGCGAGUCGGAUUAUGGCAACCGUACCGCAAACCGACACAGGUGAAUAAGUCGAGUAGACUAAGGUGUACGAGAGAACCUUCGUUAAGGAACUCGGCAAAAUAGCGGUCGUAAGUUCGCAAUAAGACUUGCCCCCACCAGGUGGGGGCCGCAGCUAAAGAAUUCAAGUGACUGUUUAACAAAAACACAGCUCCCUGCUAACUCUAACGAGGAUGUAUAGGGGGUGAUGCCUGGCCAGUGUCCGAACGUUAAGGGGAGAAGUCAUCGCUUAGCGGAGCGCGGGCAGCUUUGAUCCGAAGCGCGGAUGAACGCCGGCGAUAACUAUAAUCGUCCUAAGGUAGCGAAAUCCCUUGUCGGGUAAGUUCCGACCUGCACGAAUGGCAUAACAACUUGAAUACUGUCUCAACGAAGGACUCGGUGAAAUUGCAAGAUGAGUAAAGAUGCUCAUUAACCAUAGUUGGACGAAAAGACCCCGUGAAGCUUUACUAUAGCUUGAUAUUGAGUUAGGGGCGCGCUUGUUCAGAAUAGGUGGGAGUUCGCCGCAAGGCGGACGCCAGUGAGAUACCACCCUUGUGUGCUUUUAAUUCUAACCCUUGUCCGUGAAGCCGGACUGGGGACAGUAUCUGGUGGGUAGUUUGUCUGGGGCGGAUGCCUCCCAAAAGGUAACGGAGGCGUUUACAAAGGUUGGCUAUCCCGGAAUGGAAACCCGGGAGAUAGCGUAAAGGCACAAGCCAGCUUUACUGCGAGACCUACGAGUCAAGCAGUCGCGAAAGCGGAACUUAGUGAUCCGACCGUGCGAUAUAGGACGGCGGAAGCUCAUCGGAUAAAAGCUACUCCGGGGAUAACAGGCUAGUCUUGCCCAAGCGUCCACAGCGACGGCAAGGUUCGGCACCUUAAGCGAUGUCGGCUCGUCGCAUCCUGGGGGUGGAGGCUCCCAAGGGUUGGGCUGUUCGCCCAUUAAAGCGGCACGCGAGCUGGGUUCAGACCGUCGUAAGACAGGUCGGUCUCCUAUCUACUAUGGUCGUGGAAACUUGAGAAGGACACUCUUUAGUACGAGAGGACCGAGAGUGACGAAGCUCUAGUGUACCGACUGUCCCACCAGGGGCAUCGCCGGGUAGCUAUCUUCGGUUAGGAUAAACGCUGAAAGCAUCUAAGCGUGAAGCCGUCUUCAAGAUUAAGUUUCAUAGGCUCCCAAGAGAAUAUUGGGUUGAUAGGCCCUAGGUGUAAGGUCCGCAAGGACUUCAGCCGAGGGGUACUAAUAAGCCGUAUGAUUUUAGGCAGGGUAAAAUUAGGCGGUCUAGAGGGCGUGGCGGAAAGGAUUAGGCAGACUAAUAAAAUAAUUAUUGUGGGCUGCGGUACGG